UCCCUUCGGCUAUGGCUCUCAACACCUUAGGACCCUGAAGCCUCCUCAGUUGUGUUCACCUAGGAGUGCUGCAGGGCCUGGUCCCCCAAGAACCAAGCCAACUGGGCCAAAUGGACAGGCCAAGGAGGCCAGAAGAGGUGGCCAGAGGGAGUGAGGCUCCCCAGGGCCUGGGCAUUCAUCAGGUCUGGCUUAGAGUCCGGGCCUGUCACCCACCAGUCAGUGACCUUGGACCAGCCCUGGAAUCUCUCUGGGCCUCCAUUUGUACAUCUGUCCACAGGUCCUCGGUGGCCUUCCUCGUACCCAGUACUGUCAUAGGCUGUGUCACUCCAUCCUCAGUGAAGCCACAAGAGGAAGCGGUGGAAAGAUGGAGAACCAGGCUGAGUUCAAAGGGCAGGUUUGGGACCUACUCUGAGGCAGGCGGGACCUGCCUGGGAUGGAUUCUCCAAAGCAUUGCCCGGCUGCUCCCAGUGCCUGGCUCACCCCACAGCAGGCAGCAUCUCCCUGAACCAGCAAGUGCAAGCCUGCGCCAUGCACACCUGCCUGGUCUCUCCUGGGUACCAGCGUAUGGGAGCCCAGGGGUUCUGCCCCACAGAAGGCUCAGGAUCCUCUUUCACAAGAAAUGAGGCUGAAACAGGAGGAGAUGAAGCCCAGGGACCACCUCCACCAGGACGGCCUCCCUGACCCCCCCAGCCUCAGCCUCCUGGGUCCCAGACGGGGACAGUGUUUCCAACGUGCAUCAGGACAGCCUCUGGCUCGGAGAACGCAUGUGAACGGCCACAGCGUGGACCACGUGCCAUCUGCAUUCUUGGCUCACCUGACCUCCCAUCUCCGCUGCUCUCCCGACAGCUGCCCACUCUGUCCUGGACACUGGCCUCCACUGGGCUCUGCCCAUCCGCUGCCAGGGGCCCAUGGUCAAGGCCCAAGCAGGGAAUUCCAGACAAGAGUUUAGGGACAGAUGCCAGCCCUGGCUGACAGGUCCUGGCAACCUCCUGGCCCCUCCUCAAAGCCCCUGGACCUCAGAGUCCCCACGGGCAGGGCUCCAGCUCCAGACCUUCCCAGAUGCCUUUGGUCUGGAGCCUGGAGACCACCCAAGGACAGCAGGAAUUCACAGAGCUCGUGUCUCCUCGAGGAAUUUUUUUUUAAAACUGGGGGUUGAACCCAGGAGCUCAUAACCACUGAGCUGUACCCUCAGCCCCUUUUUAUUUGUUAUUGUGAGACAGGGUCUCACCAAGUUGCUGAGGGCCUCACUAAGUUGCUGAUGCUGGCCUCGAACUUUGGUCCUCCUCCUUUAGCCUCCUGAGCCACUGGGAGUACAGAUGUGCAUCACUGUGCCCGGCUCCUGGAGGACUUUUCUGAGGAUACAAUGAGACAGGAAAGUGCCUGUCGGGCGCCUGGUGAAGGGAACCCACUCAGAGCCACCCUGCUCACCUGCUCCAGGCAUGUAAGGGGAGAGUCUAGGCUGCAUAGAGGGGGCCCACUUGAGUCUCUGAGCCCUGGGACUGUACCCAAGCUGGUACAAUUUGA